CUGGCGGCAGUAGCGCGGUGGUCCCACCUGACCCCAUGCCGAACUCAGAAGUGAAACGCCGUAGCGCCGAUGGUAGUGUGGGGUCUCCCCAUGCGAGAGUAGGGAACUGCCAGACA
rnacentral:rRNA from 2 species